UACGUAGGGAGCAAGCGUUGUCCGGAAUCAUUGGGCGUAAAGCGCGCGUAGGUGGCUUCGUAAGUCCGCUGUGAAAGUCAAAGGCUCAACCUUUGAAAGCCGGUGGAUACUGCGGAGCUAGAGUCCGGAAGAGGCGAGUGGAAUUCCUGGUGUAGCGGUGGAAUGCGCAGAGUAUCAGGAGGAACACCAAUAGCGAAGGCAGCUCGCUGGGACGGUACUGACACUGAGGCGCGAAAGCGUGGGGAGCAAACAGG
rnacentral:rRNA from 1 species